rnacentral:rRNA from 1 species
UAGGGAAUCUUCGGCAAUGGACGAAAGUCUGACCGAGCAACGCCGCGUGAGUGAAGAAGGUUUUCGGAUCGUAAAACUCUGUUGUUAGAGAAGAACAAGGACGUUAGUAACUGAACGUCCCCUGACGGUAUCUAACCAGAAAGCCACGGCUAACUACGUGCCAGCAGCCGCGGUAAUACGUAGGUGGCAAGCGUUGUCCGGAUUUAUUGGGCGUAAAGCGAGCGCAGGCGGUUUCUUAAGUCUGAUGUGAAAGCCCCCGGCUCAACCAGGGAGGGUCAUUGGAAACUGGGAGACUUGAGUGCAGAAGAGGGGAGUGGAAUUCCAUGUGUAGCGGUGAAAUGCGUAGAUAUAUGGAGGAACACCAGUGGCGAAGGCGGCUCUCUGGUCUGGAACUGACGCUGAGGCUGGAAAGCGUGGGAAGCAAACAGG